GAAAAAGUAGCAAGAACUGCUAACUCAUGCCUCCGUACCUAAUAAGUGACGGCUUUUUCA
rnacentral:tRNA from 1 species